CAAUAAGUGAGGCUUCCUUGGAUCAAGAAAGAUUGAUAAAAGCAGGCUGGGGAUCAAAAGGAAAUAUUCAUUACAAAUUAAGCUUCAUACAGAAUUUAAAAGUGUCUCUUACAACCCAAUGCCAUUAGGCAUUCCUUUGCCUAAUGUCUGGCAUAACUGGCAUCUUCAAGAACCAUCAGGCUAUAAGGAAAUAAUCCAUCAUAUUAUAAAAAGGCUGAAUCUGCAGAGCUCCUUCAAGCACUGGUGUUGUAAGCUCCUAUGAUGUUAUCAGGAGACUUGUGAUACUUGCUGUCCUGCUGAAAGCCUCAUUGCAGCAUGGAAAAUUGCAGAGAACCCCAAUCCAGACUAAACAAACCAAACUUGUGCUUCAGGAUGGGAAGAAAACUCACAGUAUAAGGAAGAAAAACUGCAGAUUAAGCUUGGCUGGCCCCUCGUUGGAUCCUUGUUCUGCAUCUUGAUUAUAACAAUUUGAUUUUGAAAGUUGAAGUGGCAGAAAAGGAUGCCCAAAUUGACACAGUCGGGAUCAGCAUGAUGCCCUUCCUCUUCUGAGCAGCUGCUCUCAGAUACUUUCAUUCAUUUGGACUCCUCUGGAUGUGGUUGAAGAACUGAGGCAUAAGAGAUGCCAGGUGUCCAGGACUAUCCACCACAUGGCUCUCGGGAAGAACUAGCAUAAAUGAUCCUGCAGGAAGGAUAUUAAUCACAGUAAACAGAGUUAAAACCAGAACCCAGGCAGACCAGACUUUUGUUUACCCAAAAGGAUGAGAGAUCUCUGUGUACAUAGCACUGCACAUCUGUGCAUACCCAGU
ensembl:lncRNA